AUUGAACGCUGGCGGCAGGCUUAACACAUGCAAGUCGAGCGGGGAAAGGUAGCUUGCUACCUGACCUAGCGGCGGACGGGUGAGUAAUGCUUAGGAAUCUGCCUAUUAGUGGGGGACAACAUUCCGAAAGGAAUGCUAAUACCGCAUACGCCCUACGGGGGAAAGCAGGGGAUCUUCGGACCUUGCGCUAAUAGAUGAGCCUAAGUCAGAUUAGCUAGUUGGUGGGGUAAAGGCCUACCAAGGCGACGAUCUGUAGCGGGUCUGAGAGGAUGAGCCGCAACAACGGGAGUGAGACACGGCCCAGAGUCCUACGGGGGGCAGCAGUGGGGAAUAUUGGACAAUGGGCGAAAGCCUGAUCCAGCCAUGCCGCGUGUGUGAAGAAGGCCUUUUGGUUGUAAAGCACUUUAAGCGAGGAGGAGGCUACCGAGAUUAAUACCCUUGGAUAGUGGACGUUACUCGCAGAAUAAGCACCGGCUAACUCUGUGCCAGCCGCCGCCGUAAAAC
rnacentral:rRNA from 1 species